AAGCUUAUCCUUUGCUUGAUGAUUCGAAAUAAAUAAGACCAUUGAGUACUCGUGUGGUACUUGUUUUGUUGGUUUUUGAGGGUUAGCGCGCAACCCAAG
rnacentral:rRNA from 1 species